CAGCGCCGCGGGAAUACAGAGGGUGCGAGCGUUAAUCGGAUUUACUGGGCGUAAAGCGUGCGUAGGCGGCUUUUUAAGUCGGAUGUGAAAUCCCUGAGCUUAACUUAGGAAUUGCAUUCGAUACUGGGAAGCUAGAGUAUGGGAGAGGAUGGUAGAAUUCCAGGUGUAGCGGUGAAAUGCGUAGAGAUCUGGAGGAAUACCGAUGGCGAAGGCAGCCAUCUGGCCUAAUACUGACGCUGAGGUACGAAAGCAUGGGGAGCAAACAGGAUUAGAUACCCCCGUAGUCCCUGUCUCUUAUACA
rnacentral:rRNA from 1 species